UACGGAGGGUGCGAGCGUUGUCCGGAAUCAUUGGGCGUAAAGGGCGCGUAGGUGGCCCGGUCAGUUCGUGGUGAAAGCGCGGGGCUCAACCCUGCGUCGGCCAUGAAUACUGCCGCGGCUGGAGCACUGUAGAGGCAGGCGGAAUUCCGGGUGUAGCGGUGGAAUGGCGUAGAGAUCCGGAAGAACACCGGUGGCGAAGGCGGCCUGCUGGGCAGUUGCUGGACAC
rnacentral:rRNA from 1 species